rnacentral:lncRNA from 1 species
UAAAAUUAGAAUUUUUCCUCAUGAGUGUUUUUAGAUCUCCUGUUAGAAGAUCUUUUACUGUUUCUUCUUGAAUGCUUUCUAUUUAGAGAUUUGUAAAAUUGGUAUCCUGUUUGAUUGGAGGCAUGGGGUUGGUUUGUUUGCUUGAGACAGGGUCUCACAUUGUAGAGGCUGGCUUCAAACUCACAGAGAUCUGCCUUACUCUGUCUCCCAAGUGCUGGGAUUAAAGAUAUAUGCCACCACAUCUGACUGUCGUUUUUAUUAAGCCUUUUAAUAAAGAGCAGUAUCUGAAUUUGAAACCUUGCAGAGAAUGGUAACAUACACAUCUACAACUCCAGCACUUGGGAUAAAGGAAGGAGGGUCAGAAAUUCAGGCUAUCCUCAGCUGCUUGGGAAGGUCCCAGCCAGCUGGGCUACAUGAAACUGUCUCAAGGAAAGUAAGUAUAGGGGCUGGAGAGAUGGCUCAGUGGUUAAGAGCACUGACUGUUCUCCCAGAGGUCCUGAGUUCAAAUCCCAGCAACCACAUGGUGGCUCCCAACCA